rnacentral:rRNA from 1 species
AUACGGAGGAUCCAAGCGUUAUCCGGAUUCAUUGGGUUUAAAGGGUGCGUAGGCGGACUGGUAAGUCAGCUGUGAAAGUUUGCGGCUUAACCGUAAAAUUGCAGUUGAUACUGUCAGUCUUGAGUGUGCAUGAGGUGGGCGGAAUUUGUGGUGUAGCGGUGAAAUGCUUAGAUAUCACGAGGAACUCCAAUUGCGAAGGCAGCUCACUGGGGCAUAACUGACGCUGAUGCACGAAGGUGUGGGUAUCAAACAGGAUUAGAUACCCUGGUAGUCCACACAGUAAACUAUGAAUACUCGCUGUUUGCGAUAUACAGUAAGCGGCCAAGCGAAAGCAUUAAGUAUUCCACCUGGGGAGUACGCCGGCAACGGUGAAACUCAAAUGAAUUGACGGGG